CAUGGAUGGGAACUGGGAAUGAAUGGGAAUGAAGUCAGGCCAUGGAUGAGAACUGGGAAUGAAAUCAGGCCGUGGAUGGGAACUGGGAAUGAAUGGGAAUGAAGUCAGGCCAUGGAUAGGAAAUGGGAAUGAAGUCAUGUCAGCCUCUGCCCACUGCCCUGGUGAUCCCAGAGCCAAGGGGACAGACACAAGCAGACAAAUCCUUUCUCCCAAUGGACUGGAGGUUCCACUGUGCAUUCCAGGGCACCUCUGUGAUGAGAUGGGCACAGAACUGACCAGCAGCACUGGGGAGGGACCUGGGGAUUGCAGAAGCAGCUUUGGAAAUCUGCCUUCUCUUCCCCAUUCCAGCACAGCUACAAGGAUCUUGGAAAAAUGGUUAUCUUGGACUGUGGAUGCACCCAGACACUUCCAUAGAUGAAGAACACAGUGAGCUCUUGUGCGG
rnacentral:lncRNA from 12 species